rnacentral:lncRNA from 1 species
AUGAAAUACAUUUAGUACAUAAUUAAAUAGAUUACAGUUAUGAUAUUUUUGAUAGUGAAACGAUAACAGAAUGUUUAUAAAUACUGGCAGGAUUCUUCUCUGUGUUUUUAUGAUAUUUCUUUUUAACACAGAAGUUUCUGGUGUUGGUACGUAUACGUCUUUUUUUCGGUUCUAAACUUUUUAAUUUGAGUCUAAUAUUGUUGAUUAUCCUAAAGUUGCCUAUUUUCGUGGAAUAAAGUAAAGUGAAUGGAGUAUCCUGGUCACAUUACUUUAUUUUAAGUGGGUAAUCAACCACAUGAAACUCUAUAAACGAAUAUUGUGUCGAUAUAAUCGGUUCAAUGGAUCGUUUAUUAUCAGAUGACUGAAAUUCUGGAUGUAGCGAUUAAAACUUUAGUUUUGUAUACACAUACAUAGGAGGGAAACCAGAUACCUCAUCAUGUUGACAGCAUAUGCAAUGCAUAUAUGUAACGCGACAGAAACUUGCGUUUCCGAGGUAAACAACAUGCUAUUAACUGACAGUUGUUAUCAAAAAUAGUGCGUUUCUAUGUUUGUUUCCGUUUGCUUCUGCUGUACUUCAGUGUUUCUGUUGAUCCUUUGUUUUCCCCUGUAGUUUAUGUGCUUCUCUCUUGUUUUGAGCAGGUAUAAAACAAUUCAUCGAUAAUUAUUCUAAAUCCUUUAUUCCUAAAGUUUUUUUCCUGUAAAUACAUGUAAAGUUGAACAACUUAAUUGUCGUUUUUUAUGAACUACGUAUACUGCUUACAGAACUAUAGUUCUCUAUUGUUUUAGCAAUUAUACGUGUGGGGAAUUAUUUUUUAUAUUUGUGGUUGUUUUCUAUGGGUAUAAUUAUCUAAUUAGCAAGAAAAAUCCUUUUUUUUUAAACAAAUGGAACCCUUAAAAUGCGAUACAUCCACUUUUUCAAAAGUUGGGCAUAAGAAAAAAUCCUAUUUUGUAUAUAUGAAUUUAAAAAAAAUGAUCGAACAUAUGCAGAUAUAGGUUAAUCAGUAUUUGUCGACCGGGAUGAAGAACUGGAAAAUGGCUUUCCACAGGAAAUGGAAGGCUUGCUAGAUAACGACAGAUAUUUCACCACGCAAAAAAAAAAAUAAAAAUAGCAACCUACUGCUCCCUGGCAUGCAGAGUUGUUUAAAUUUGUCUUUGAUUACAUAGACUGUUGCAGCCUCCCUACUCGAUGUAUCAUAUUAAUCGUCCACGUUCUAACCUAACCUAACUGUGAAUUUAUUCCUAAUGGACGCCCCUUUUAGCUUGGGUUGCAUUGACUAAUGUUAAUCUCUACUUUAAGAAAAAAACUACCAUCAUCAGGUACAUUUUGUGUCCAUAACAGAUAACAAAUGUUAAAGUCGUGCAUUGCAUGUUAAUAUGCAGAUUGAACUUCUAAGAGACAUUAUUUUUGUGUUUAUACAUUGCAGUUUCCAUUAGGAAGUUAUCAUAUAAAUACACUGUUUAAUACCAUUAAACAUGGGUUAUACAUCAUGGUCUACGGUCUGUGAUGAUGUUUUGAAUUCCAUCAAAUCAAGAAAAAGAUGUUGAACAUUCAUCAUUGUGUUCAUUGUUUUAAUUUAGAAAGCGCCUUGUAUUAAAAUAGUAAUAAUACACGAAAGCUUUUGAGCAGUAUAGAAAUCUAAGUAUGUUUUGAUCAUUUAUCUGGCAGAUCUUACACAUAUACAAAAGCGAUUCAGAAUCAUUCAAAGUUCUUAAAUAUAUAACUGAUAAAUACAUUUCUUUUACAGGCUAUAGGCUUAGAUGUCCAUCUCCUCCCGUUGUAACGACAAAUUCUUACAGCCAAUGUGGUAAUACGUGUGUACCUACUGGUUGUAAAUUUGGAUAUCUGUGUUGUUCAAUUGGCUGUGGUAUGGACUGCUUAAAAGGAAUAAUUUAUCACUAGCAAUUGCACAACUUACAUAUUUGGUAAGCUAUUGUCAUACAAAACACUUUGAUUAAUUAUAGACAACAAAACAGUAAAUAUGAAAAAGGGCAACAUAACAUUUUUUUUUGUGUUGAUCUGGUGAACGCCAAUUCUGACCUAUAUGUAUGUGCAAUACAUCGCUAUCAAACCCUACGCAUCUCAUUGGGUAUCUCUUUCGCUUGAAAAAAGAUAUAUUUAUACAUCAAAACAAUAUAUGUAAAUUUUAUUAUAUGUUUUAUAGUACCAAUAUAUUUGCCAUCUUCACCGAUUUGUUUUAUUGAAACAUUUAAGUAUGAUUAAUUAGGGCAAAGUCUUUUGUUAUUUAGCAUAUUGUUGUUCACUUAUUUAAAAUAUGCCUAAGGAUUAGUUAUUAUGAUAACGUUUUGCGGUAAACCUUUUGUAAUUUCUAUGUCACGAAUAUGUUCUUAUUUCCUCCUCCGACACUGUGACAUCCCUGAAUGUGAAUUAUGGAAGUGUUUUUUUUAACCUUGGAAAAAGGAUUUUCGCCAAUAGUGUAUUGGUAUAUCGUUGAAAAUUCAAAACGGAAGGUCCGUAAUCAAAGCUCAAACACAUCAAAGGAAUUGAUUACAACAUAUUCCUAACUUGACACAGGUGUUCAGUCCAAGUUGUAAAAUGUAUAUGUUUAGUUUAGUAAGUUUGUGUUGAUGAAUUCUAGCAUGCACGUAGCAGUUGUACCAUUUUACCUCGGUAAAAAUCUUUUUCUUUGUAUAUUAAACUUUUUUCUUUUCUAUUGAAGGAUAACAGCAAACUUGGUACUUUGAUUUGUGUCUAUACCUAAACGCUUACUUUAGCGAUGAGC